UAUAGGUUAUCGAAAUCAAUACGUCGCCAUUUUGACUUGGUUUGGAAAAGAAAGCAAGCACCUGUCGGCGACCGAAAUUCAUUCUAGCUUUAUAUGAUUUAAUGUUUGUUUUACCUGGUAUAGCAGACUCAAAAAGUGAGAGAUUUCGGUAUUUAUAGGGUGUAAAGGUGAUUAUAAUAGCAUGCUUAUAUCCGUUGUCAAUAUAGAGUAUUUACAAAUUUAUGCACACAACUGUCAAAAAUAAUUAUGAUUCAACUGCUGAAUUUGUAGCAUAAGUUUCUGCGUUAACAAUAAUUUUAACAAUCUCAAAAUAUGCACUUUAUUGCAUAGACGUGAAAGACUAAAGCCAUCAACCAUUUAUACAUGAUAUUACAUGAACAUCUGGGUGGGGCUUUAAAUAUAGACUGGUAAUCAAAUAUGCACCUGAAUAAUCUAUUAAGAGAUAGACAUAUCAAAAAUUGUAGUUUAAAUAAGGAAUAAAUAUGUAAUCUGAUAAUUGAACAGAGAUCUAAGUCAAGCCUCAGCUGACAUUGUCUGACAGGUAUAUAUGACAUAAACAACAUUGUCAUAAUAUUUUGAAAUGUCACACAAAUAAUUUCAUAGUGUAAACAUGUUCCACAUGAUGUUAAUAUUUCUAUUUUUAUCAAAUUUGACAAAUGGGUUUAUCACUAGCUAUUUUAUAUGUGGAAACCUGUCAAAUUGGGAAUAAUUCCCCAAAGAGAAACUAUCCCUCAAACAUAUUUUUUUCAAAUAACGAAUAAGGAAUACUUUCUAGUGUUAUUUUUUUUUUAAUACACAUUUUUACCUUCCAAAAAAUGUACUGUAUAUAUAGCUUCCACUUGACUAACUAACAUGUCACAAUCCUAUAAAAACUUGGAAAAAUUGACAAUUUCAAUGCUUUAAAAACAUAAUAAAUUCCAAAUGCAAUUAUGGAUCUUUGAAAUUUUCUUAAAUAUGUGCCAUUUCAAGGUAAUACUUGACUAAGAUAGUUAGAUUUUAGCACCAUCUAAUGAAUACUCAACUGAAGGAAUAGUUCCUGUUUGUUCCCAACCUGGUGUACGUAUGUAUGUCAGUAAAAUUAGAAAAAUCAAAAGUAAAAUGUGUUCCAAAUUCACAAAUUUGAACAGAAAUAUUCUUGGAGUAGUAAAUGUUUCAAAUACAAUCUACCUCUAAGGUAAAUGACACAAGAGUUAAGACCAACAAAUAUUGUUGCACUCAUGACUAGAAAUAGAAAUAAAAUUUAAAUACAAAUCACUAAAGGAGUAUAAUUGCUACUUAAAGUGAUAACAAGGUAUUUAUGAAAAAUCAUUUGUUCAUGGAUAUAUCUGAUCCCAUUUGGAAAUCACAAUUUCGAAGUUUAAUGCAUUUUGUGUAAUGUUUUCUCACGUUUCUUUUACAUUAGCGAAUAAUAAUCUUGACAACGUAUUUCCUAAAGUUGUCCUAUAUAUAUUGUAUACUGUUUCAGUAUUUUCUUUUUGUGGUAAAAACAACGAAUUUCCCUCAAAUUUUUCAAUUUUGAAAAAGCAAAUGUUAAGAAUGUUUAUUAUCCCAACAGUCAUGCACUCCACAACAAUAAUUGGGACAAAGGGGAGACAAUUCAAAACUAUUUACCACCAUCACUGUGAAUUAUUUUAGUGUUAGGUCCAUAUGCAUGGAGCUAGCUGACUGUAUGAGUUGUUUCUUUCCUAUGGCGUUGUAUAUAUCCAGUUCUAUGGUAAACCAUUGGAUGGUUAUUACGUACAAAGCUUGUUAUGUUGUUCAACUUUUGAUCUCAAUAUCCAACAUGUCCAACAUGUCCAAUGUAUAAUUUAAAAUACAUGUACUGUUAUUAAUAAAAAAAAAUAAUGUUAUAAGAAGAACCUUUGUUGUUUGUUAAACAAGACUAGUUCUUUAACCAUUGUUAACUGUUAAUAUCUUUUACCAUUAUACAUUGUAAGUUAAAUUGUACUUUGUCCAUAUUCAAUUAUAGGCCUCUAGGAUGUCCCUUUAAUUUACUUGGAUAACAUUAGCUAUAGUAGAUCCUUCAUUAACAGUGAUAGACACAAAGCUGUCAUCUAGCCAGUUCAGCCAACACUUAAACCUCCCUAAAUUCUUGUAUCCAAAGAAUUAGUUAAUAUCAUAUAAUUUUACACUUUACCAUGGAUACUUUAUAUCCAAAGGAGAACAUACAUAAUAUUAAUACAUCCUUAACAGGAAAACUUAUUCAAUUCAAGUCAACCACUAAUUAGUUAGAUUUACAUUUCAGGUAGAGGAUCUAGUCCAAACUGUGUGGUAACAUCUAGAUAGUCUACGUACCGGUAAGUUGUUCACCAUUUUGUGUAGUACUUUCAAUACAUUGUACAUGAAUACAUGUAUGCAUGAAAUGAUGAUCAGAAUGAUCAGGUAUGAUCCAUAAACCAAAGCUUCACAAUCAGGCUAAGGGUGAUCAAAGUUUAUUAAUUAUGUAAAGAGUGAAAAAGGAGCAAGUUCAAUAAAAGAAAGCAUGUGUAUGAAAUAUACACAACAAAUAAUUUGUUUUGAUUUAUUGGCUAUGAAAUAGUGUUUUAGAAAGUUUUGGUUAAUUCAUUUAUUAAAUAUGAUGCAUGCAUGAUAGAAUGAUGAAGACAAAUAGCAUGGUUUGUAAUGGAAAGGUUUUAAUUUCUAUUACCUUAUAUAUAUACUUACAUAGAAAUGUUGAUGUUGAAAGGCAUAAGUUUUGCAAAGAUUUCAUUAAAUGUGCUACAAAACUUGAAUUGAAUAUAUGAAGUUAAAUCAUUUCUGUACCCCACGAUAUAAAGGUCAAACAGUAAAACUCCAUUUACAUGUACUGGCAUAUACUGUAUAAUACUCCUAGCAUGAUACUCUUAAGCACAUAUUUGUAUUUCUUGGCUGCUAUAUAUGGAAGGGAAAGAUUUAAUAUUUGGUCUGCAGAUUGAUAAGUUUGAGUUGAAUUUGACAUCUGGCAUGUACAAAAUUACUCCAUGUUUGCUAUUGGUUUGAAUUUUUGCAACUCUCAUUGUACACGGAAAAUUUUAGUUUAAAUGUCAGAUCAGUUACAUUGUAUGCUCCAGUAUAUGUAUUACCUCAAUCAAUUGCAUGCAGCAAAGCAUGCCCAGAGCAAGUAUGAAUCUUGUUUCAAAACCUUACUAUUUAUAGUCUUCAUGUAUGUUAAUUGCUGCUUAUGGCAAUAAAUUCCUGUUUGUACAGCUUCAAUUAUUAAAUGUAGAUUGCACUAGAGUAAGUUCUGGAAGACAAAAUUAGCUCUUUUUUAUGUCCCAUUUAUGGGCAUUAUGUUUUCUGGUCUGUGCAUCUAUUCGUUCGUCCGUUUGUCUCGCUUCAGGUUAAAGUUUUUGGUCUCCGGGUAGUUUUUGAUGAAGUUGAAGUCCGAUCAACUUGAAACUUUAAAAACAUGUUCCCUAUGAUAUGAUUUUUCCAAUUUUAAUGCCAAAUAAGGGAUUUUAUCCCAUUUUCACAGUCCACUGAACAUAGAAAAUGAUAGUGUGGAUGGGGCAUCCGUGUACUUGGGACACAUUCUUGUUUUAUUAAGUAUUAAAGCUGAAAAAUAUUUGCUCUAACUUUUAAUGUAAGUGUGAGAAGCAGCAAGUAAGAAUGUAACAAGCAUUUACAAUAUUUUACCCUUCUGAGGAUAAAACCAGCAACUUCCUGCAUUUGAAUCAAGCAUGCUGAUAUAUAUAUAUAUAUAACUUCUUUAAUUAUUUUGUUUUCUCCCAAUUUUAAAACUUCAGUAAAUUCUGGUGUUGAACAUUAUCUUCCAAAAAACUUUUUAUGGGUUCUGUAUUUGGUUACAGUUUUGCUUCAUUGAUAACAUAAAGUUAAAUCUGACCUCGGUAAAUAGUUGGAUAUGAAAUAUACGAAAAUGAUAAUAUUAAUUUAUGAUCACUGGAGGUUUCGUGUGAAUUUAAAUUGUUUUCUUAAAAGACAAAGAUGAAAACCAAAUUUACUGAAGUUUACUAUUUUUUUUGUUGUAAUUUUUCUGUUUGCAUGAUAUUUGAUGUUGUUUUUCCUCCUGUACAGGUUUUGGUACUGUGACUCCUAACACCAUGCCUUUCCAAUCAAAGAAUGAUCAAAUUAUCAAGCUGAAAAAUCAACGGGAACAAAUGACAUACCACCUCAAAAUUGAUAGAGUCAGAAUGACAAAAACUUUACCGGAAAUGAUACAGUUUUGUAAUCAAAGAAUGGCAGAUGACCCAUUGAUUCAUCCUGUUAAAGAUAAUCCUUUCAAGGACAAGAAAACGUGUACAAUAUUAUAAUGUUAAUGAAUUGACAAAUGUAUCAACAUUUAAAUGGUGCACAUGGUAGACAUUGUGAAUUUUGUUGUCAUGGAAGAUCUGAUAGGGUUUUACCUGCCCUUUAUAAUAUUUCACAGUUACUUUUUAUAAUGUACUAAAUAGCUUUUAUAUUUAUUCACCAUACUGUCAAUACAGUUAUCAUUGUCAUAUCAAAAAGACAUUCAGAUUAAUAAAAAAAAAACUACAGUUAAUUGGAAUAAAAAUUGUGAAAUUUUUGUAAUUUCUGACAGUUAAAAGUUUAUAUAUAGCUAUAGUCACAAGGCCAAAAAAUUCAAACUAUAGUGAAUAAAUAAAAAGUUACUUCUAAACAUGUGUUUCAACAUGUUCAGUCUUAAACUUCGAGAGUUAUGUUUCAUUAACUUUUCAAUUUAAAAUUAGAGUCUACAUGGAUUUAGUUUGCAUGUUCAUGCUUGUUGUAAUUGUAUGAUUUAAUUUUACAUAUCUUUCCCACAGAUGAUCACCAGUAAUAUCUAUAAGAUGAAAUAUGUGUUCCUGAAAUGAUAUCGAGAAUUUCAUAAUGCAUUUCUAUGAUUCAUUAAUACUUCAGGGAUUUAAAAUAAAAAAAAUAUCAAUAAGAUGUCUGCAAAGUAUUCACUAAUUUUGUCAAGAAACACAACAGUAUUUAUGAUUUCAUUUGAAGAAUAUACCUUGAAGAGCAAUUUUGUAGUAUUUUAUCAAUUGAUGUUUUCCUAAAAAUUUACCCUCCCCAAAAAAUAUAUACUAAUUAAAAAUAAGAAUUUGUGGAAACUUUUCGCGAAAAGUCUUAUGAUUUUGACAAGAAAUUAUAAUUUGAUAUAGUUUGAAAAAUUUCUAUGACAAUUGUAUUGCAAGAAAGUUGAAAAGUCUCCAUAAUAUUAAAAGCCAUCUUUCUAAAAUUGAAAAUGAACACAUAUUCCAUCUUAGAUACUAGUAUAUUACAAAUUAAAUUUAUAAUACCAGAAUAUAUUUGCAUGUAAGGAAAUCACAUACAAUUGCAUAACUACCCAGACACAUUCCCUCUAUUCCCA
rnacentral:lncRNA from 1 species